UACAGAGGGUGCGAGCGUUGUCCGGAAUCACUGGGCGUAAAGGGCGCGUAGGUGGCCUGGUAAGUAGGGGGUGAAAUCUCGCGGCUCAACUGCGAGGCUGCCUCCUAAACUGUCAGGCUCGAGCAGAGUAGAGGCAGGUGGAAUUCCCGGUGUAGCGGUGGAAUGCGUAGAGAUCGGGAAGAACAUCAGUGGCGAAGGCGGUCUGCUGGGCCGUUGCUGACGCUGAGGCGCGACAGCGUGGGGAGCAAACAGG
rnacentral:rRNA from 1 species